GAAAUGUGAUAAGUAAUGUGAAUUGCAGAAUUCAGUGAAUCAUCGAAUCUUUGAACGCACAUUGCGCCCGCCAGCACUCUGGCGGGCAUGCCUGUUCGAGCGUCAUUUCAACCCUCAGAACCCCUUGCGGGAUCUGGCGUUGGGGAUUGGCAUCCAGCCAGCCCCGAAAUCUAGUGGCGGUCCCUCCGCGACCUCCCCUGUGCAGUAGUGAUACCUCGCAGCGGGACAGCGGUCUGACCACGCCGUAAAACCCCCAACUUCUCAAGGUUGACCUCGAAUCAGGUAGGAAUACCCGCUGAACUUGAGC
rnacentral:misc_RNA from 1 species